AUUGCACGCUGGCGGCAGGCCUAACACAUGCAAGUCGAGCGAGCGGCGGACGGGUGAGUAAUGUCUGGGAAACUGCCUGAUGGAGGGGGAUAACUACUGGAAACGGUAGCUAAUACCGCAUACCAUCAGAUGUGCCCAGAUGGGAUUAGCUAGUAGGUGGGGUAACGGCGAACCUAGGCGAAGAUCCCUAGCUGGUUGGAGAGGAUGACCAGCCACACUGGAACUGGGACACGGUCCAUACUCCUACGGGAUGCAGCAGUGGGGAAUAUUGCACAAUGGGCGCAAGCCGGAUGCAGCCAUGCCGCGUGUGUGAAGAAGGCCUUCGGGUUGUAAAGCACUUUCAGCGGGGAGGCGUUACCCGCAGAAGAAGCACCGGCUAACUCCGUGCCAGCAGCCGCGGUAAUUC
rnacentral:rRNA from 1 species